AGUCAGAGCAAUAUGAGAAGACUCCAAAGCAUUACGCAUUAAACCUAAAUUUGGAGUAAUUUCAGAAGCUGAAGAAAGAUCCAUUGACUCUUUGGAGACAUAAAAGAGUCAAGGAUGGUAAAUAGAAUUGAGUGAGAGGCCAACAUUAAACGCUUUAAUUUUCAUUUAAGAGGCACAUUUACUUUUAAAUGAGAAUGUCAAACGUGAUUAUGGAUGAUAAUAAGGGUUUAGGAACAUUUAAUGUGUGACAAAGGGAAUGAGAAGGUCAAACACGAUUAUGGAUGAUAAUAGGGGUUUAGGAGCAUUUAGUGCGUAGCAAAGGAAAUUAGAAAGUCAAAUGUGAGCAUAAAGAGUCAAGGCGGGAAAAUGGAAUUGAGUGGGAGGCCAGCAUUAAACGCUUUAAUAUUAAUUUAAGAGGUACAUUUAUUUUUAAAUGAGAAGGUCGAAUAUGAUUUUGGAUGAUGAUAGGGGUUUAAGAGCACUUAAUGUGUGGCAAAGGGAAUGAGAAGGUCAAACACGAUUAUGAAUGAUGGUAGGGGUUUAAGAGCAUUUAGUGUGUGGCAAAGAGAAUGAGAAAGUCAAAUGUCAGCAUUUAAUGUGUGGCAAAGGGAGGGGAAAAUUUAGGGGCAAAAUUAGGGUUGAGGUUAGCCAGAGGGGUUACACUUUAAUAACUAGACUCUUGUCCCGUGCGAUAGCACGGGUCAUACCGAGAAGAAGUUAAACGAAUGAGUCGCAACAAUGUAAACAUAUAUAGUUAAUAGAAGUUUUAACAAAAGUUAAGAACACGUUCCCUCUUCUACGACAACAAAAUGAAAUGGUAGCAUACAUAAAAAAAGUCUUGAUUACAUUUUUGGCCCAGUUUUUCAAAAUUGUGAUUUUGGCCCCCUAAAAAACUCUUUUCAGACCCCCUAAGUUUACUUUCUGUUGAAUUUUGAUACAGUCAACGGACACGUGUGUAAUUUUAUUUAAAUAUUUUUUAAUUUAAAAAAAUAAUUUUGUAAUUAAAAAAAUUGUUUUUUUAAUUAUAAAAAAUAAUUUUCUUUGUUUUUGUUUUACAAAUAAAAAAUUAAUUACAAAAAUUAAAACAAAAAAUAUUUUUAUUUUUAAUUACAAAAUAAAAUAAUAUAUUAAAAAUACAAAAAUAAUUAAAACAUUACACAUGUGGCGUCCACGUUAGCGUUGACUGGGUCAAAAUUGGGCUAGGGGGCCAAAAUUGCAGCAGAAAGUAAACUUAGGGGGCCUGAAAAGAGUUGUUUUUUUGGGUCAAAAUCACAACUUUGGGAAACUUAGGGGGCAAAAAGUGUAUUAAGCCUAAAAAAAGGUUUGAACUUUAAUCAUCAAGAUACAUGAGGUCGUAUCAGUAUUCUCUCCAUCUCCAUAAACGAUUAGUGUUUUCAAUCCUUGUUUUGAAGUGACUCUUGAGAUUGCAACGUACAACUGACCAUGCGAGAACACAGGACCCGACAAAUAAAUUCCAACACUUUUAAGUGAUUGCUCUUGACUCCUGUUGAUUGUCAUGGCAAAUGAAACAUAUAUUGAAAAUUGUCUUCUUUAAAAUUUGAAAGGAAUUUUAACAUCGGAUGGUGAAACACCUGGGUAUGAAAACUUUUUCGCCAAUGUUACUUCCAGAUAUAACAUUUCCUUCAAGUACAAAUUUCCUCAUUCUGGUUAUGAUUAACCUUUCCUUCAAACGAAGAAACAUUUUAAAACCAUUAUUUUGGCUCCAUGAAGGAUUAUGGUACAAUAUAAAUUACUGGUAAACAAUCAUCCGAAAAUUGCAUUUAAACUUAAUAGUCAAACGAAGAAACAUUUUAAAACCAUAAAUUGCAUUAAAAUUAAAAGAUAUUACAUUAAGCUGGAAAGAUAAUACUAUAAAUUGCAUUAAAUCGUAAGAUUCUGAUAGGUUUAUUAAUUUAUCUAGGAACAUGAAAGGUUGUGAGAUCUACGAUUGAGAUGUAGGGAGUAGUUGACAUGGAGAGAAAAUGAGGAUGAAUUAGGGCUAACAUGUCAGCUUGGCAAGUGUAGCUUUUAUAAUAAAAGAUAAGAGAUUGAAGGAACAAAAUCUUUGUUUCUAAAUUUAAGAGAUAGAGAGCAGUGGGAGAAGACUGCAAAGCAUUAUGCAUUAAACCCAAAUUUGGAUUAAUUUCAUAAGCCGGAGAAAGAUUCAUCGACUCUUUGGAGACAUAAAGAGUCAAGGUGGGAAAAUGGAUUUGAGUGGGAGACCAACAUUAAACACUUUAAUGUUGAUUUAAGAGGCACAUUUUCUUUUAAAUUAGAAGGCAAAUGUGAUUAUGGAUGAUGAUCGAGGUUUAAGAGCAUUUAAUGUGUGACAAAGGGAAUGAGAAUGUCAAACGUGAUUAUGGACGAUGAUCGGGAUUUAGGAGCAUUUAGUGCGUGACAAAGGGAAUGUGAAAGUCAAAUGUGAACAUUUAAUGCGUGUCAAAAGGAGGAAAAAAAUUAGGUUAAAAUUAGGGUUGGUGUUAGCUAGUGGGGUUAAGCUUUAAUAAUAAGAGAUUCAAGGAAUACAAUUUUUAUUUCUAAAUUUAAGAGUCAGAGAGUAGGAGAAAACUUCAAAGCAUUAUGCAUUAAACCCAAAUUUGGAGUAGUUUCAAAGCUGGAGAAAGAUCCAUUGGCGUUUUGGAGACAUAAAGAGUCAAGGUGGGAAAAUGGAAUUGAGUGGGAGAGCAACAUUAAACGCUUUAAGGUUGAUUUAAGAGACAUAUUUGCUUUUAAAUGAGAAGAUCAAACGUGAUUAUAGAUGAUGAUAGGUGUUUAAGAGCAUUUAAUGUGUGGCAAAGGAAAUGAGAAUGUCAAACACGAUUAUGGAUGAUUAUAGAGGUUUAGGAGCAUUUAGUGCGU
rnacentral:lncRNA from 1 species